UACGUAGGGGGCAAGCGUUGUCCGGAAUCAUUGGGCGUAAAGAGCGCGUAGGCGGCCCGAUAAGUCCGCUGUGAAAGUCAAGGGCUUAACCCUUGAAUGCCGGUGGAAACUGUCGGGCUAGAGUCCGGAAGAGGCGAGUGGAAUUCCUGGUGUAGCGGUGAAAUGCGCAGAUAUCAGGAGGAACACCUGUGGCGAAGGCGGCCAUCUGGACGGUAACUGACGCUGAGACGCGAAAGCGUGGGUAGCAAACAGG
rnacentral:rRNA from 1 species